GGUUUCGUAGUGUAGCGGUUAUCACGUCUGUCUCACACACAGAAGGUCCCGAGUUCGAACCUCGGCGAAACCA